CACUGAGGUGCGAAAGCGUGGGGAGCAAACAGGAUUAGAUCCCCUGGUAGUCCACGCCGUAAACGAUGUCAACUAGCCGUUGGGAGCCCUGAGCUUUUAGUGGCCCAGCUACCGCAUUAAGUUGACCACCUGGGGAGUACGGCCGCAAGGUUAAAACUCAAAUGAAUUGAUGGGGGCCCGCACAAGCGGUGGAGCAUGUGGUUUAAUUUGAAUCAACGCGAAGAACCUUCCCAGGCCUUGACAUCCAAUGAACUUUCUAGAGAUAGAUUGGUGCCUUCGGGAACAUUGAGACAGGUGCUCCAUGGCUGUCGUCAGCUCGUUUCUUGAGAUGUUGGGUUAAGUCCCGUAACGAGCCCAACCCUUGUCCUUAGUUACCAGCACGUUAUGGUGGGCCCUCUAAGGAGAUUUCCGGUGACAAACCGGAGGAAGGGGGGGAUGACGUCAAGUCAUCAUGGCCCUUACGGCUUGGGCUACACACGUGGUUCAAUGGUGGGUACAGAGGGUUGCCAAGCCUCGAGGUGGAGCUAAUCCCACAAAACCGAUUGUAGUCCGGAUCGCAGUCUGCAACUCGAGUGUCGAAGUUGGAAUCGCUAGUAAUCGCGAAUCAGAAUGUCGCGGUGAACCGUUCCCGGGCCUUGUACACACCGCCC
rnacentral:rRNA from 1 species